rnacentral:lncRNA from 1 species
UCAGCAUGAACGUUGGAUGAAUAAUAGGGCAGAAGUUUUUAAAACGAGAGAUCAUCAAUUUCUACAUUACUAUGAGACAGAAUCAUCAGCGUCAUCAUCCACUAUUGGCUCAUCCUCCUAGGCGAACAGAUCUGGCCAUGGUUACGUUGAGAAGAUUUGAGGGCCGAUUUUUUUUUUGUGUCUCCAUUUUUAGCUUUAAUAAAAUGUAUACAAUAUUUUGCUUGGCCGGAAAAUGUCAUCUCCGAC